rnacentral:rRNA from 1 species
AUGGUUCGAGAGACAAGCAAAGAACUGACUACUAGCAGCAUAGGGGGGAGAGAAAGCUUCUUUGAUCAUUCAGUCAGCGAGCCAGCGAGUCCAGAAACAGGGGGAGAGAAUGCUGAACAGGGAGACAAAAAUACCGAGGCAUACUCCACACCGAAACCUCCUGAUGAAACGAUGAAGUUUGAUACUUUUGAGGAAGCUUAUGAACACUACAGGCAAUAUGCAAUGAGACAUGGGUUUGGAAUGAGACUGGAAUACAGAAAAACAAUCAAAGACAAUACUGUAAGCAGAGUCCUCUUGGUUUGUGGGAAAUACGGCAAGCCAAAAACAAACAAGGAGGAGACAGAGGAUGUGCAGGACCCAAAAGGCAUCGUGAAGAAGAGGAAAAGAGGGAAGGUUGUGAGGUCGGGAUGUCCGGCCCACCUUUACAUCACCCACAGGGAUGCGUGGUGGAGAGUCAAACGCUUCAACGACGACCACAACCACCCUCUAAUAAGAAAGCCGUCCUUGACAAAGUUCCUAUCAACACAUAGGAACAUUCCAAAAGAUGAGCAGGACUUCUUGAAGAUAUUGCACGGAUGCAACAUAGAGACAGCAAGACAGAUGCAACUAAUGGAAUGGUUCUACAGGAAUCCUAAAGAUGUACCAUACACAACAAAGGACAUGGCAAACCAGCGAGCUAAAUUCCGGAUGGAGUACCGCCAUGCUGAUGUGGGGAGCACAAUCUCGUACUUCCAAGAUGUUUAUAUUAUGAAUGCAGUUGAGGAGUUUGAGCACAAGUGGUGGGUGAUGAUGGAAGCGUAUGGCCAGACUGACAACGAGCAUUUCCAAUGGCUAUGGGAGAACAGGAAGUGUUCGGUCCCGGUAUACUAUAUGCACGAUUUUUUCCCGUUCUUGCAGACCACGGCAAGAAGUGAGGGUUUUAACUCUGUGGUCAAGAAGUAUGUCAACCCAAACAACUCACUGGUCGAAUUCGCACAACAGUACACUAUGAUACAGGAUAAGGUGAUGGCUAGCGUCUCAAAAGAGCAGUUGGAAACAGUGUACAAAGAAAUCGAAAUGUACUCAAUGAACCCGCUGGAGAUGCAGGUGCGGGGGUUGUACACACAUAACUUGUUUUGCAAGUUCUAGGUGGAGAUGAAGGUGAAAUCAGCAUACAGAUGCGACGCAUUGGAUGAUGGUACUUUCAAGGUCAGCUCGGUGCGGGGGAUAAUACCAAAAUAUGGAGACAGGGACUACCAUGUGCAAGCAAACAUCAAUGAAGAGACAUACUCGUGUAGUAGCUGCAAGUUUGAUCGUGACGGGCUACUGUGCACGCACGUACUACGAGUUAUGGACCAAAUUGGGGCAUACGAGAUACCUGAAAAGUACAUCCUAAAGAGGUGGACCUGGGAUCCAGAGGAGGAUCUUAUUCAACCUGAUUUCAAACAGCUGACAGUUAAGAAGUCGAUGCCAGAGGAGGGGAAAACGAUGCGAUACACGUCAAUUCUUAAAGAAUUUAAGGCAUUGGCCAAAGACGCUUGCCUAACAGAUGACGGGACCGGAUUGGCAAGAAAACACCUGUAUAAUUUCAAGGAGGAGCUUGAAAUCCUGAAGAACAAUCAACUUAAAAAAAGCAAGAAAGGAAAAGGAAGAAGCAAAGGGAUCGUUUCAAGGACAGCCGGAUCCCUGCUUGAUACCUAUGGGGCGAUGAAUGAAGACAACCAUGUCACACGUCACCAAAACGCCCCCGAUGCAAGACAUCCGAAGAACCCAGCCACACACCAAACAAGUGCCACUAAUGUGCAGCAACAGGAGAACCACGCCACACAACAAGAAAGUGCUACUAAUGUGCAGCGACAGGGUAACCCUGCCACACAGCAAGAAAGUGUGCGGGUGACGAUACAUGCUAGCAAAAACAAUCAUGCUUUUGCCAUCCAGCCCCCACAUCCUAAUGCAGCUCCGUCCUCAAACACAAAGUUGAUACUAGACCCUCCCAAGACUACAACGAAGGGGCGGCCAAAGUCAAAAAGAAAGUAG